GUACCUUUGGGAACAUCCCAUAAACUUGAAGCAAUACAGAGAAGAUUCACAUGGCCUCUGUGCAAGGAUAAAAUGAAGGAAUCGAGUCCAAAAUAUUUUU